UUUUUGUUUUGUUUAUCUUGUCUAAACUUUCUUGUUCCGCCCGUCCGCCUCUGUCCCGACAAUAUCGAUAAGCAUCUCCAGCAAGCAAAAGAGAGAGGGUUAGAAACAGAAAAAACACGAGUGGCUAGGCAGAGUUGGAUGAAUGGUAACUUGAGAAUAAAACGAAAACAUUAUAACAAACAACGUCGUCCCAUAUUACCAACUCUCUCGUUCUCCAUUGAAGGAGUGUGUUGCUUUUUAUUCAAGAAGAAGAACAGGAGGCUCGUCUUCAUAUCUCAAUCCAUCGUCAGUUGAGUGGAAAGAAGGGAGGUACCAGAGGCUCAACAGCACACGACCCCAAAAACAGCUACGACUUAUGGGACUAGGAAAACUUUUCCAACUGAAGGGAUCAAGAGCCAAAUCUCUUUCCACCUCUUGUUUUUUCCUUUUCCCAUUUAAAGACUUUUAUCCGGAUUCCAACGAAAAUCUUGGCAACAAGGAAUUUCUACACUUCGAAAGGGAAAUUCAUCCUCCAUUUUUUUUUUGUGUUCGUCUGCUUAGUUUUUUUUUGGCUGAUGCUGCAACACGUUUUUUCGUGCAUAUUUAUUCUAUUGUGAAUUUCCUUUUGUUGAAAGAAACAACAUGAACAAGUCUUUGUGCUCGUAGACCUCAGACACACGCCCUUUGGCACUCUAAGCAAGACUAUACGCACUAGCCCAGUAGCCUUUGUAUGACACAGUCUACAUCUGUGUCUAUACAUGCAAGAAUAGAUUAAUGGAAAUCUCUAUUGAUGUGGUCAUUCACCUUCACAGCUACUGUAAGUAGACGUGUGUGCCAGCAUUGGAUCAGCCAACCUGUUCCUGCUGCUGUGGAAAUAAAUCGAGAAACUGGAAUCUUAUCUGAUUCUGUUCGUUGAAUAGAGAGAUGAAAGGAGUAGACAACCUUGGUUGUUUUCUGCUACAGAUGACUGAUCUGUCACUCGGUCAAUCUUUUCCAUCUUUCUCGAAUAUAUCAUCACAUUAUUCCUACAGAUUCACAUGCCACAUUAUUCUGUAGGCUUGGAAGGCCACAUGGUUCCUGUGAAGUUCACGGAGAGGGCAUUGGCGGCAAGAAAAAAGGGUGGAGUGAGCCUCGGCCGUUGAGGUAGGGAAAAAAAAAGAAAACGGCUGAUUGACUUGCCAGGGGAAAAACCAAAGAAUGUCGCAUCCCUACAACAAAAGAAUGGUUGAGUCUGGUGUGCUUACCACGGAGAUGCCAUCGAUGGAGACGUCCAUUGACAAGUCCAUCAUGUCGAGGGCCAAUCGGGCAAUGCAGAGAGCCUGUUGUCUGCACGGUUCAGAUGAUGAAAAGAAACCUGAAACCGACGAUGCCGCUAAAGAGCAAAGUCACCAUUUCGUAACGACGGGCGGCGACUGGACGACCGUGACGCAAUUCAUUAGCCACAGAAGGAGGUAGGACCGAAUACAGCAACCUGACACGAGGGAAACAAAAAAAACCAUUGGAGCUGAAGAUGAGAUCGACUUCGUCGGCCGUCGUGUCCUGCUGUGUUUUGGCCUUGUUCUUUUCCUGAAUGAGGAAUUCACCAUGGCCGCUGCUGCCCUGCGAGCUGCGCAGCAAUUUGACAUCAACGUCCACUUUAUGCAGCUUUUUUGCCACGGCCUGUAAGUGCAAAUGUUAUACUCUUAUCGUCAAACGAAGUAAAUUUUUAUACGUUGACGAUUCCAAUAACGAUCGAUUCGAGGCCGGGCCGAUCCGAGUAAUAAUGCAAAAUGAGUGCGCCGUCAGGUGCGUCGGUACAGCGGAACGACGGCGCUUUCAUCCCGGGAUAAACUGGUUCCAAAACAGCAUUGAUUAAAUGAUCGUGCAGGGCAUCUAAAUUCUAAAAUCAUCACGUCGGAAGAAUGAUUUUUAGGAAUAUCGUAAACUAUGAAGAAUACCUGGAGGAAGUCGCGGGGUGUGGCUCCCAAUACUUGAAGAAUUCGAUCAUAACCGGAAUCUUGGCAAAAAUCCAGAAAUUUCUCCCCGAAUUUUUCCAACAGGAGAUUGGCUGGCACCUCUGCGCAUUUUUGGAUCAAAUUGAUGCAUAGUGAAAACAAAAACUAUUUGAUAAAGCGACAGAUUUGGCGGACAAGGAAAUGGCCUUCCAUAUUGACUUCGGCUUCCUUUCUACAAUUAGACAAAAACAAAAGACGUCCUUUCCUAAUUGGAUGGAAUUUUGUUGCCGCAUAAGAAACCGAAAAAGAAUGGAAAGAUUCCCGACGGCGUUGCAUUAUUAGAUAAUUAAACAUGAAACACUGGCACUGUCCUACCAUAAUUCUCGAGGACGAGAAGUUCGAGUGCGUAAUUAACGAAUCCGUACUACCAAAAACCGCGAAGAUGUCCAAGCAAACGAUGUUAUCAAAACAUAAAAGAUCAAUCAACCAAAAACUUACCAUAGUUGGCGACUGCGAACAAGCAGAAUGGCAAGAAGCAAAAGGUGGUAGAGUUGAAAGGAGGACGAGCGAAAUCCAGGAGCGUAAGAUGUUGGGGCGAGCCAGCAAGCGAACUG